CAGUAACAGGGGUGCUUCUUAAUAAAGAGGCUGAGAUCAAACCCUUGUCACACCGUUAAAAGUGUGACUGAAACCUGAUCCGGGUAAUGCCGGCGUAGGAAAACAGAAUAAAACCGUUU
rnacentral:ncRNA from 1 species